rnacentral:rRNA from 1 species
AGCGGCGGACGGGUGAGUAACACGUGGGUAACCUGCCCAAGAGACUGGGAUAACACCUGGAAACAGAUGCUAAUACCGGAUAACAACACUAGACGCAUGUCUAGAGUUUGAAAGAUGGUUCUGCUAUCACUCUUGGAUGGACCUGCGGUGCAUUAGCUAGUUGGUAAGGUAACGGCUUACCAAGGCAAUGAUGCAUAGCCGAGUUGAGAGACUGAUCGGCCACAUUGGGACUGAGACACGGCCCAAACUCCUACGGGAGGCAGCAGUAGGGAAUCUUCCACAAUGGACGAAAGUCUGAUGGAGCAACGCCGCGUGAGUGAAGAAGGGUUUCGGCUCGUAAAGCUCUGUUGGUAGUGAAGAAAGAUAGAGGCAGUAACUGGCCUUUAUUUGACGGUAAUUACUUAGAAAGUCACGGCUAACUACGUGCCAGCAGCCGCGGUAAUACGUAGGUGGCAAGCGUUGUCCGGAUUUAUUGGGCGUAAAGCGAGUGCGGGCGGUUCAAUAAGUCUGAUGUGAAAGCCUUUCGGCUCAACCGGAGAAAUUGCAUCAGAAAACUGUUGAACUUGAGUGCAGAAGAGGAGAGUGGGAACUCCAUGUGUAGCGGUGGAAUGCGUUAGAUAUAUGGAAAGAAACACCAGUGGGCGAAGGGCGGCUCUUCUGGGUCUGCAACUGACCGCUGAGGCUCGAAAGCAUGGGGUAGCCAAACAGGAUUAGAAUACCCUGGUUAGUCCAUGGCCGUAAACGAUGGAGUGGCUAAGUGU